UCAUAGAGGAAGUAAAAGUCGUAACAAGGUCUCCGUAGGUGAACCUGCGGAGGGAUCAUUACACAAAUAUGAAGGCGGGCUGGAACCUCUCGGGGUUACAGCCUUGCUGAAUUAUUCACCCUUGUCUUUUGCGUACUUCUUGUUUCCUUGGUGGGUUCGCCCACCACUAGGACAAACAUAAACCUUUUGUAAUUGCAAUCAGCGUCAGUAACAAAUUAAUAAUUACAACUUUCAACAACGGAUCUCUUGGUUCUGGCAUCGAUGAAGAACGCAGCGAAAUGCGAUAAGUAGUGUGAAUUGCAGAAUUCAGUGAAUCAUCGAAUCUUUGAACGCACAUUGCGCCCUUUGGUAUUCCAAAGGGCAUGCCUGUUCGAGCGUCAUUUGUACCCUCAAGCUUUGCUUGGUGUUGGGCGUCUUGUCUCUAGCUUUGCUGGAGACUCGCCUUAAAGUAAUUGGCAGCCGGCCUACUGGUUUCGGAGCGCAGCACAAGUCGCACUCUCUAUCAGCAAAGGUCUAGCAUCCAUUAAGCCUUUUUUCAACUUUUGACCUCGGAUCAGGUAGGGAUACCCGCUGAACUUAAGCAUAUCAUAGCGGG
rnacentral:rRNA from 1 species